CCAGCAAUUUGAGAAGAGCAGCCCCAUGAAUAAAGCUCCUCACCUGAGCCUCUGCUGGCUCUGCUUGCUUCUCCUCUGAGAGGAACCUUGGAAAAAGACCCUGUCCUAUGGAGUCUGCAAACCACCUCAUCAGCUUCUCUUUCUGAUUAAGCAGGUGGAUGCUGUGCAAGGAAUGCCUGAAUCCCAGACAGCCUCUGUGUGUGUGUGUGUUGCAGUGCAGAUUUUGCAAGAUGUGCCCCCCUCCUGUAAACCCAGGACAGUGACCCCCAUCCUCUUCCACCCUUGGGUGACACUCUUUCCCUCUCAGUGCUGAACUGGUGCCAGUGAGAAUUUUGGUCCUUCCUGUGUCUGCUUUCAGUGGUGUACGCCCCAUGCUGUGCAGAGCAUGUCUGGGGCAGCACUGAGGGGCUCUGGUGCAGUGGAACCAACAGAGGUGACACACAUGACACAGUGGUGUUGUGGUCCUUUUCCCCACCGGCAGUGGUUUGGGUAGAUUUGCGCAGUUUGGGGCAAACGAAGGAGUCAUAUCUCUUCCCAUUUCACCACCUGCCAGGUUUAGCCAUUCCUGCUGGCUUUAAUCAGCACAAAGACAAGUCUACAUCACUUCACAUUGCAACAUGAUGCGGGCAGUUCCUAUUGCAGGGCUGAAGCCUACCCUUUGCAUGAAGAAAAGGCUGGUUUCUGUACCUAGGCAUCCAGCACCCAGAAAGGACCAACUGCUUUGCAGACAGAGCCCACCCCAGAGCUGCUGCUCCAGAACCCCAGGCUCGCAGGGCAGUGGGAAACCACUCCACCUGCACUGGGAGCCCCUGGCCUGGGGGAGCCUGCAGGAGGAGGGAGACCUUCAGGCAGCAGCACAGGUACAUGAUGUGACAUUGGGGUGUCCAUUGUCCUUGAUUAUAUUCCUCACCCAUCCUCAUGCCUUAUCUAAUCUGCAGUACAAUGGGAGGAAACGGGAAUUCCAGAUAUCCCUAAGCUCCUCUUAAAAGCUCUCCUCUGGCUGGUCUCUGCAGAGGACUGUGCUACCUGUGGGAGAGUUAGUUAGUAGUAGAUGUCUACCACCUUGCCUCUGCUUUCAUCCUUCUACCAGCAAAAGCUCUAGAGCUGUCUAAUAUACUCUUGAGCAAAUAACCAAGACAAGCAGUAACAAAGAUGAUGGUGAAGGAAAAGAGCAGGUGUUGGAAAGGCCUGGAUGUUUUUUGAAGAGGAUUAAGAUGAAUCAAGCUUGGAUCUGCUGAGACUUCCCCUUCCCACCCCCACCCCGACAAGCCCAAAACACUCCCUGCCCUGUGAGCGCUUCCUGCUCACUACUUUUGUUUACAUAGUGCUUUUUCUGACCUCUCCAAGACUUUGCUUGCAGCUGGCAGCUCUAAGGCUCUUCCCAUUCCCGUGCCUUCUCCACCUAUAUGCUUGUUUUGAAUGUGGAGGAUGGAGGGAGGAAGCACUUGGAAGACAGUAAAAGGAACAGUGUCUAAAUGACAGAAGCCCCAAGGUGUUCAUCAAGGUGGCAAUAGCUCCUAACAUGGAAGCACAGAUCUCUUCUGCCACUUUUUCACUUGUGAGCAUCAUCCCAUCAGAUGAAGGUUAAGGGAAGUCACGUGGAAGGGAAAGGAAGGAGCUUGUAUUGUUUCUUCCCCUCCAGCCUACUCCUAGAAACCUGGGGUUCUUUGGAGGCUGACAUGAGGCAAACAUGAAACAGACUCAUCCCGGAGAAGCCUGCAGUAGCAUCCUGGGUUGAAUCCCCCUGGUGCAGCUGAAGCACUUUAUAUAUCCAGCCAGGAAUGGCUGGUGGUCCUGUCUCCACUCCCUGUUGUUGCUGGGGCCACCAGCAUAAGGGGACUUGCAGCUGCAAUGGAAACCUGUUCCAGUAAGCUGUAUGCAUUAACCUCCUGUCCUGAUUCACCAGAAAGGCAACAAGAUGCAUUCUGGAACCUCUAGGCUGUACUACCGCAGUGGAUGGGACAACUUUCAAGCCAACUCUAAUCCACAUUCUCCUCCUUUAGAGUUUGCCAGUAGAUAGGAUUGGUUCAGGACACAAAGGGGGCAACUAUUUACAGCAAGGGACUUUUCAAGACCAGGAUACUGGGGCAGGCACGAAGGAAGGGCACCCCAUCCCAUCAGCAGCCUAUGUGGGCGUGGGUGCACCCCAUCCAUGGAGCAGCAAAACUCAGUCUUGCUUGCACUGACCAAGAGCUUCAGCUGGCUCUGCCCAUAGCUUGUUGCUUAACCCAGGUGUAGCAAUGAACCACACAAACCCAGAUAUGGCAUAUGCACGUGCAGAGAUACAUACAUAAAUACGUAACACCUUUGUACCAACAUAAUCAAAAUAGAUUCUUGUGUAUGUGUGUGUUUGAGCACUUCUGCUUUGGUUAGUAUCCAUCCAACCAAACAUCUUUGCUGGAAAACUUCCUGGGUUUUGUUUCAUUUUACUAGGAGACAUUUCAUUUUGUUUCAUUUUAAAGGAGACAGCUUUACCUCUGCCUAAUUUUCCAAACAUCUCCUGUGUCAGCUUUACCUUACCUCCUCCUGAAGAUCCCAGUGUUUAACAGGAUGCAGGAAUUUGUCAUGCUGUUUGUAAUGCCUUCAAGACAGCCAGCUUGUUGCAGGCUAAAGUACAGACUGGCACCUUACCUAAGAGACGGGUCUGUAACGCCUGAGAGAGCUUUCUUUGUCUUGAUGCUGGCA